rnacentral:rRNA from 1 species
UAGGGAAUCUUCCACAAUGGACGCAAGUCUGAUGGAGCAACGCCGCGUGAGUGAAGAAGGGUUUCGGCUCGUAAAACUCUGUUGUUAAAGAAGAACAUAUCUGAGAGUAACUGUUCAGGUAUUGACGGUUAUUUAACCAGAAAGCCACGGCUAACUACGUGCCAG